rnacentral:rRNA from 1 species
GACGAACGCUGGCGGCGUGCUUAACACAUGCAAGUCGAACGAAGAGCGAUGGAAGCUUGCUUCUAUCAAUCUUAGUGGCGAACGGGUGAGUAACGCGUAAUCAACCUGCCCUUCAGAGGGGGACAACAGUUGGAAACGACUGCUAAUACCGCAUACGAUCUAAUCUCGGCAUCGAGGAUAGAUGAAAGGUGGCCUCUACAUGUAAGCUAUCACUGAAGGAGGGGGUUGCGUCUGAUUAGCUAGUUGGAGGGGUAACGGCCCACCAAGGCGAUGAUCAGUAGCCGGUCUGAGAGGAUGAACGGCCACAUUGGGACUGAGGCACGGCCCAGACUCCUACGGGAGGCAGCAGUGGGGAAUCUUCCGCAAUGGACGAAAGUCUGACGGAGCAACGCCGCGUGAGUGAUGGCGGCCUUCGGGUUGUAAAGCUCUGUUAAUCGGGACGAAAGGCCUUCUUGCGAAUAGUGAGAAGGAUUGACGGUACCGGAAUAGAAAGCCACGGCUAACUACGUG